UGACUGGGAUCAAUUAUGUUAUAUGUCAAGAUAUAAAUUUACUGAAUUGUUCUUUUUUAAUGAAAACUGGUCAAAACUUACAGGAAUGGCCCCAUUAUUACAGAAUCCCCAUCCAGAUAUUCAGUCAGAAUCUAAAGUAUUGUUUGGUGCAUCACUACACUGAAUCAAAAACAAUAAAUGUGAUGGACAAAGUAAGCUUGUGAUGAGAAAAGAUGUGAGACUGAUGUGAGACUGUCAUUUCACUGUUACCACAAUGGGAACUUGUGACUUCCUCAUUUUUAAGUGUUGCAGAAUGUUUAAAAAGCAGCACAACUCUGACGGAGCUUCACUUCUCUGUUCAUCUUUCAUCUACCUGCUCCAAAGACCUGCAGAAAAUUUUCUGCCUCUCCUGACAAACACAGAUGGCUGUAGUCCUGACUCUCCUUCUCAGUGUCUGUCUGCUGCACGGUGCCCUGUGUCAAACAUUUCAGUCAUUUGUGCCGCCGACUAUAGAGGUUCUGAGUGGAUCCUGUGUGACCAUCCCCUGCUCCUUUGAUAUACCGGACAACUUUAAAUCACUCUUAGAUAGAUCAUGUAGGAUAUUGUGGAAG